UACGGAGGGUGCGAGCGUUGUCCGGAAUCACUGGGCGUAAAGCGCGCGUAGGCGGCUUUGUAAGUUAGAGGUGAAAGCCCGGAGCUCAACUCCGGAACUGCCUUUAAGACUGCAUCGCUUGAAUCCAGGAGAGGUGAGUGGAAUUCCGAGUGUAGAGGUGAAAUUCGUAGAUAUUCGGAAGAACACCAGUGGCGAAGGCGGCUCACUGGACUGGUAUUGACGCUGAGGUGCGAAAGCGUGGGGAGCAAACAGG
rnacentral:rRNA from 1 species